rnacentral:lncRNA from 1 species
CUUUAAGUGACCAGCUGUUCCAGAGAAACACAGGCUGGGAUGAUAGCUAAUGAGGAUUCUGUGACUAUGGAGAGUACUACCCUUUAAGAAAAUCAUCAGAAGAAAGGAAACUGAGAACACAUAGAAUCUUAAUGGUGUACCAAACCAAAUGUCGACUGGAACUCAACCAAAAACUAAGGUGUUUUCUAACGAGCAAAGCAAGGAAAGAGCAGAAAAUUCUGAAAACCAAACCUUGAUUAUGUUGUCCACCAAGUACUGCACUGAAUCCACACGAAUGAAGUGACAGAUACUCAAC